rnacentral:lncRNA from 1 species
CGGGGGGACAAUGAUGUGUGGGUUCCUGGUUUACUGGAGAUGCAUGCUGAAGUUUCUGAGGGUGGAGUGUUGACAUUUUACUAAUGUACUUUGAAAUGGAUCAGCAACAACAGAUAUAGCAGUUGAUGGACCAAGCAAAGGUGUCCGAGGCCGACAAUGUGGAGUCUGGGAGGAUGCGGGGUCCGGGUUGCAGCGCGUGGAGCCUUGUUCUGCUGUUCUGUUUUCCUCUAUGCUUGAAAUUUUUCUUAGUUAAAAAGAAUCAGGCGGGAUCCCCCCAAGAGCUGCAGAUGAAUGUUAAGUUUUCCUGAGCCACAGGCCCUGCAGUCUGGGCUCCACACAGAGCAGGGUUUGUCUCAUUUUUCCAGCACUGGUCCGAGUGCCCCACGUUCGAGACCCCACCUAAGGUUCGGCUCAGGCCCACCUGAGCUGCUGUUGGAAGAAGGGGCUCAGCCCCUGGUGAAGAUUGGAGCUUCCACCUGGUCCCCCCGCCAACCUGCACCCCCUCCCAGGAGAUGCCGUCCCCCACUGGGGUUCCCAGCCAGCAUGCCCCGAGAAAUGCUGGCUCGGACACCUUUGAACUCACCGAACAUUUCUUUGUUGAACAUUUCAGUGGAACUGAAAACUCGCCCGU